UAGAGAUGGAGGCGAAAUGUACGCGAUGCCGAACGACUCCCUCGUCGGCGCCGCCACGGAGUGGGACAGGCGGCGGGCGAGAUCCAACGGGUGGCUCCGCCGCGCGGUCUACAGCUCCGCCCGUGACCUCGACGACGCGCGGGCCAGCCCCAUGGCCGCGCACGCGCCGCUCCGCUUCUCUGUUGCGCCAACGGCAGCCGCCAAGCCCAAGGGUAAACCAGAUUAAACCAGAAGAUGUGGUUGCCCAGCGAGGAUGAGGCUGCUGAAAUGUGCUACUGGUGGUUAUUAUGUCAAAACAUUAGUUGAUUAUGCUGUAAAUAACAUUAGAUGUGCUACUGGUGGAUAGAUAUUAACGUUUACAUAACAUUCUUCUUCUUUUUGAUCAAAUUGAUAGGGAAAAAUGGUGCAAAACGACGUACAGUGUGAUUCUUCAUAACACAUGUCAGAGUUAAACGUGCGAGUGUGGUUUGAGUUAUGCUACAUCUGGGCGUGCGUACUAUUCCUCAAUGCCAUAUUAAUGAUGCGAUGGACCAAGAAAGCUCGUGACUCUAUCCCAGCACACCUUGGGACCUUUCCAGAUGAUGUUGGGAUGGCCCAGGCAAGAGUAUUCAGGCAUAAUGUUUUGCAAAGCACUGCGAAUGAGAUAGUUAGGCUCGGUGAUCAGGAUAACCAAUCUUUUGAGAUUCUUCUUCGUUAUCUUGGGGAAGCAAAGGAGGAGAUUGCCAAAGCCGCUUCCAAGAUGUCUGGUGCUGCGGCCAGUUUUCAUUUCAUUUCAUUUCAGAUGUUUUCAUUUCAGAUGUUUCAGUCUCUUAAUGGAAUCCAUGCAACUGUACCUUUCGAGCUUUUCUAAUCUAAUUAAUGUGAAAUUUGCAAAUUCA